AUAAGAUAGACGGAAUAUGCUAAUCAUUUAUUUAUAUGCUAUUUAUAAGGCCAAGAGCACGCGGGUUAUGUGAAGGGUAAGCGCAAUUGUUCGGAAGGAAUGAUCUGUGAAUGCGGUCUAGGACCGGCAUCAAGGCAAGUAAUAAGACGAAUUGACCCCUGGUAAGCUUGAUGAAUAGACGCGCAAUGUCACUAAUCGGAAAGGAACGAUUAC
rnacentral:lncRNA from 1 species